UCGAACGUGGUGUAUGGUGCACGGCCUUUCAUCUUAUGUGGAUCAUGAGAAACUAUUGGAUGCAAGCCGGGGUUCGACUCCCCGCGUUCGAA